UAAAGAGCUCGUAGGCGGUUUGUCGCGUCUGCUGUGAAAACUGGAGGCUCAACCUCCAGCCUGCAGUGGGUACGGGCAGACUAGAGUGCGGUAGGGGAGAUUGGAAUUCCUGGUGUAGCGGUGGAAUGCGCAGAUAUCAGGAGGAACACCGAUGGCGAAGGCAGAUCUCUGGGCCGUAACUGACGCUGAGGAGCGAAAGGGUGGGGAGCAAACAGGCUUAGAUACCCUGGUAGUCCACCCCGGUAAACGUUGGGAACUAGUUGUGGGGUCCAUUCCACGGAUUCCGUGACGCAGCUAACGCAUUAAGUUCCCCGCCUGGGGAGUACGGCCGCAAGGCUAAAACUCAAAGGAAUUGACGGGGACCCGCACAAGCGGCGGAGCAUGCGGAUUAAUUCGAUGCAACGCGAAGAACCUUACCAAGGCUUGACAUAUACGAGAACGGGCUAGAAAUAGUCAACUCUUUGGACACUCGUAAACAGGUGGUGCAUGGUUGUCGUCAGCUCGUGUCGUGAGAUGUUGGGUUAAGUCCCGCAACGAGCGCAACCCUCGUUCUAUGUUGCCAGCACGUAAUGGUGGGAACUCAUGGGAUACUGCCGGGGUCAACUCGGAGGAAGGUGGGGAUGACGUCAAAUCAUCAUGCCCCUUAUGUCUUGGGCUUCACGCAUGCUACAAUGGCCGGUACAAAGGGCUGCAAUACCGUAAGGUGGAGCGAAUCCCAAAAAGCCGGUCCCAGUUCGGAUUGAGGUCUGCAACUCGACCUCAUGAAGUCGGAGUCGCUAGU
rnacentral:rRNA from 1 species